CAAUAGCGUAUAUUAAAGUUGUUGCGGUUAAAAAGUUCGUAGUUGGAUUUCUGCCAAGGACGACCGGUCCGCCCUCUGGGUGAGUAUCUGGCUUGGCCUGGGCAUCUUCUUGGAGAACGUUGCUGCACUUCACUGUGUGGUGCGGUAUCCAGGACCUUUACUUUGAGGAAAUUAGAGUGUUUCAAGCAGGCUUCCGCCUUGAAUACAUUAGCAUGGAAUAAUAAGAUAGGACCUCGGUUCUAUUUUGUUGGUUUCUAGAGCUGGGGUAAUGAUUAAUAGGGAUAGUUGGGGGCAUUCGUAUUUAACUGUCAGAGGUGAAAUUCUUGGAUUUGUUAAAGACGGACUACUGCGAAANCANNNGCCAAGGAUGUUUUCAUNGA
rnacentral:rRNA from 1 species